UACAUCCCACGACCUAGAGCACAGUAAAUCAGUUGGCUUAGUAAAUAAAGGCAAGUCAAGUGGCCAAAAAAAAAACCCGUAUCGCCAAAACCUUCGAUCCGCAUUCAUUCGAAUCACAUUCAACAUGCAGUUUAGCGCCUGCCGCUCAAGUUCAAAUGGAAAUUAGCGGUUGGUGUUUGUUUUAUAGCCGAUUGCUUUCAAAUUCCACCGAGAGUGAGGCAUAGCAAACGUGAUACUCAUUGCAAAACUCCGAAAAAAGCCCUGUGCCCCUUAAUGGAUUUUCACAUGUAGAUCGAUGAAUGAAUAAUCUGCCAGCCGACCCAAGCCUUCAGACCUGACCAUACCAAACCAGUCAGCCUGGCUGGUCCACGUGUCUGUCCGUCGGACUAACUGCGUCCAUGCCGGAACAUGAAACCCAAAAAUGUGGGCAGCGAUCAGCUUGUGGGCUGCUGAAUGUCUGAGCUUGUGUUUGACUUGAUUUCUUGGGUGCGAUGCUUUAAAAAUAUACUCGUAUAAAAUGAAUCAUAUUCAGUGAAUUGGGUUUGAAAGAAGUCUGGGAAAUUCUUUAUAUAGCCUAUAGGCUCUAUGUAAAAUGCAUUUUAAGUUAAAUUUCUUCUAUUACUUAAA